CGGUGUUUAACUGGCGUGAUGUGGGACGUCCUACCGGUGGGCUUAGCCUCGCGAGGGGCGGCCCAACUAAUAUCCCGUCGCGGUGCUCUUUACUGAGUGUCGAGUCGGGCCGGUACGUUUACUUUGAACAAAUUAGAGUGCUUAAAGCAGGCUAUCCUCGCCUGAAUACUGCGUGCAUGGAAUAAUGGAAUAGGACCUCGGUUCUAUUUUGUUGGUUUUCGGAACCCCGAGGUAAUGAUUAAUAGGGACAGAUGGGGGCAUUCGUAUUGCGACGUUAGAGGUGAAAUUCUUGGAUCGUCGCAAGACGGACAGAAGCGAAAGCAUUUGCCAAAAAUGUUUUCAUUAAUCAAGAACGAAAGUUAGAGGUUCGAAGGCGAUCAGAUACCGCCCUAGUUCUAACCAUAAACGAUGCCAGCUAGCGAUCCGCCGAAGUUCCUCCGAUGACUCGGCGGGCAGCUUCCGGGAAACCAAAGCUUUUGGGUUCCGGGGGAAGUAUGGUUGCAAAGCUGAAACUUAAAGGAAUUGACGGAAGGGCACCACCAGGAGUGGAGCCUGCGGCUUAAUUUGACUCAACACGGGAAACCUCACCAGGCCCAGACACCGGAAGGAUUGACAGAUUGAUAGCUCUUUCUUGAUUCGGUGGGGUGGGUGGUGCAUGGCCGUUUUUAGUUGGUGGAGCGAUUUGUCUGGUUAAUUCUGAUAACGAACGAGACUCUAGCCUGCUAAAUAGGCGUACCUUAUGGUAUCGCGAAGGCCCCCGGCUUCGGCCGGUGGGUUUUUACUACCAACGUACAAACAAAUCUUCUAGAGGGACAGGCGG
rnacentral:rRNA from 1 species